AUUGAACGCUGGCGGCAUGCUUUACACAUGCAAGUCGAACGGCAGCGCGGGCUUCGGCCUGGCGGCGAGUGGCGAACGGGUGAGUAAUACAUCGGAACGUGCCCAGUAGUGGGGGAUAGCUCGGCGAAAGCCGGAUUAAUACCGCAUACGACCUGAGGGUGAAAGCGGGGGAUCUUCGGACCUCGCGCUAUUGGAGCGGCCGAUGGCAGAUUAGCUAGUUGGUGGGGUAAAGGCCUACCAAGGCGACGAUCUGUAGCUGGUCUGAGAGGACGACCAGCCACACUGGGACUGAGACACGGCCCAGACUCCUACGGGAGGCAGCAGUGGGGAAUUUUGGACAAUGGGCGAAAGGCUGAUCCAGCAAUGCCGCGUGUGUGAUGAAGGCCUUCGGGUUGUAAAGCACUUUUGGCGGGAACGAAAAGGACUGUGCCAAUACCACGGUUCGAUGACGGUACCCGCAGAAUAAGCACCGGCUAACUACGU
rnacentral:rRNA from 1 species